rnacentral:misc_RNA from 1 species
UCCACCCCUCGAGCUUUGGCUUGUUAUUGGACCUUCGUCAAUAAUUUUAAAGACGGGUCUCAAAGAUAAUGACAGAGUUUUUGAACUCUUGAUGCAACGAGCUUUUUUAAGCACGCAUUAUAGUAAUCAACAAACUCUUUGUCUUUAACCUCUUUUAUUCAUAA